rnacentral:rRNA from 1 species
CCGCGACCCCRGGUCAGGCGGGACUACCCGCUGAGUUUAA